CAGCAGCCGCGGGAAAACGAAGGGGGCUAGCGUUGUUCGGAAUCACUGGGCGUAAAGCGCACGUAGGCGGACUUUUAAGUCAGGGGUGAAAUCCCAAGGCUCAACCUUGGAACUGCCUUUGAUACUGGAAGUCUUGAGUUCGGGAGAGGUGAGUGGAACUGCGAGUGUAGAGGUGAAAUUCGUAGAUAUUCGCAAGAACACCAGUGGCGAAGGCGGCUCACUGGCCCGAUACUGACGCUGAGGUGCGAAAGCGUGGGGAGCAAACAGGAUUAGAUACCCCUGUAGUCCCUGUCUCUUAUAC
rnacentral:rRNA from 1 species